rnacentral:rRNA from 1 species
UACGUAGGGUGCAAGCGUUAAUCGGAAUUACUGGGCGUAAAGCGUGCGUAGACGGUAGCGUAAGUCGGGUGUGAAAGCCCCGGGCUCAACCUGGGAAUUGCAUUCGAGACUGCUCUGCUAGGGUGCGGAAGAGGGAAGCGGAAUUUCCGGUGUAGCGGUGAAAUGCGUAGAUAUCGGAAGGAACACCAGUGGCGAAAGCG